CGGGGGAGGAGAACAGAAUAGCCCUCAGUGAAUGGCGGAUACCGCAACGAUAUGUCUUGAGUGAUCGGCUUUACGUUAUGAGUGAAAACGAAAAUGCUACCUCCACCGCGAAAGGUCAAACCAACCGUUGCCUUGAAACACAUUCACUCUGAACAAGUGGCCAAACUCCAAGCUAAACACCAACAAGAAUGUGAUCUACUGGAAGAUAUAAGGUCGUUCAGUCUACAGCGGUCCAAAUUGGAGAAAGAAUAUGCUCAGGGAUUGUUGAAGCUGUCGAGUCAACUGCUCAAGAGGGAAUUCCCGUCACAGCCUGACAUCAUCAGUGAAGAUGGACUGGAACACAACUACUCGGACGGAAGGACUGCCUGUACCGUGUGGCACCAGAUCCUGGAGGAGACAGAGAAGGUGGCCAAGGCCCGACUCCAGGCGGCAGAGAUCUUCAUGGAGAAGAUAGCAGAGUCGGCCAAGCCUCUCAAAGUGGCCAAAGUCCAUAGCAUGAAGAAGGUGGCGCCGCAGUUGUCGACAAUACAGACGGAGCUGGGGCAGACGGUGUUGGAAAUGACCAAGUGUCAGAAGGCGUACAACGUGGAUGAGACCUACUCACAUGAGGCCCGGCAGAAGGCUGGGGAUGCAGAAGACAAAUUGAAAAGGAAAUCAACGGGUUUGUUCCAGUCCCUUGCUAGUCUGCAGAAGCAGUGUUCGAAGUUAAAAAGUCGGUACGAUGCGUGCGAGGUGAAGUCCACGGCGUCACGGAAUGACUACAUCCUGGCGCUGUCAGCGGCCAACGCCCACCAAAUCCGCUACUACAGCACCGACAUGCCGGAUCUCACCAAGGGUCAGGACACUGUGGAUGGGGAGGUGUAUGAGAAGAUACAGGAGUACUUCAGCCUGCUGGGGAGCACCGUCGUUGAGAUCAGCCAAGCCGAGGCCAACAGCUUUGAAAAUGUCGUCAAUGAAUCUGCAAAGAUCAGCCGAGCGUUCAGCCUGCAGUGCUUCCUGUUCUGCAACCCAGUGUUCACGGAUCUGGUGCAGUAUCAGUUUGAACCCUGCCAUAAUGACCAGUGCAGCAAGGCCAGCGGAGACCACAAUGCCAUGCCAGACUUGGAGAAGGAAGCCAAAAAAUGGGCAGCAAAAGUUGCUAAGGAAACCAAAUCAAUUCGAGAAUACCACAGGAUCCUAAAAUGUUUACAGACACAGGGGUCAGACAGGGUGUCGGACUCAGGGAUCGAGUCAAACUCCACGACGGCCAGCAGUUCUACCCAGGAUCCCGAGGUCAAGAUGGAGGAGAUGCGCCAGAACAUUCGUAAAGCGGAGACAGGCAAGAUGAAGGCUGAAGCUCGGCUAGAGGCUCUGCGAAGUGCAGGAAUCAACGUGGAUGAGUAUUUGAGCAAUGCCCAGAGUGAGAGUCUGGGGACCGAUGACAUCUGCAUGGCCCGCACACCCAGUCAGAUGUCACUGCGGACAGAGAGCUCCGGCGGGCACAGUGCCGAUGACCACGAACCCACAUACACACAUUACGAUGAUGAUGACGACUUCAUCGAUGAUGCCUUCAACACGACGACGGGGCAGAGUACGACUCAGGAUCCCACCAGGAAAUAUCCACUCAAGUGCAAUGCCCUCUACGAGUUCCAAGCCAGUAAUUAUGACGAGCUGACAAUUGCAGCCAAUGAGGAGUUAGAGCUGGUUGCCGACGGUGAUGGGGAAGGAUGGGUAAAGGCCAGAAGCUCAUCAGGAAAGACAGGCUACAUUCCAGAGAAUUACGUUACUUUUGACGGAGAGGGACAGCCGAAUGGGUCGGUGGCACAGGGCGACGCCCCUUCACUGCCAGUUUCUGCAGGAAGUGCCCCGCCCCCUCCCCCGCCCCCAGCCUCCUCCGAGCCUAUGUCGCCGACAUCGAUCAAUGACAACCAGCAUGACACGACGUCCUCGUACUCAUCAGGUGACCUUGAGGUUCAGCAGACAACCGAGGAAAUGGCGGUGGACAAUGUCCAACCAGGGCUCGGAGAUGCCAUGUGGGCACGCGCGCUGUAUGACUACGUGGCCCAGGACAGCGAGGAAAUCAGCUUCGCAGAGGGGUCACUGAUCAAGGUCAUCCGCAAGGACAACGAUGGAGUGGACGACGGCUACUGGGAGGGGGAGUUCAACGGCAACUCCGGUCUCUUCCCGUCGAUGGUGGUCGAGGAACUCACAGCAGAUCAGGAAGUGAUGUCACCCGGUGUUGACUAUGUACCACCACCCCCGGUUACCGUUACCAUGCCAACGCCUGAUGCAGAGCUUCCACCACCCCCUGUUACCAAUGGCGAUGUUCCCCUCCACCCACAGAGUCACCGAUUGGGAUCCGUAAACCCCCACUCGUUUGAGUCCACCGUUUAGAUUCAGCAACUGAGCCAAUUUCUGACAACAGCACACCUGAACAGUCUGUGGUAUAGAGAGGAGGAAUUAUAAGAAAGUUCGGUUCAGCAACAACCACAUGGUACCGACGGACGUCCUGCAGCCACACUACCCCCU
rnacentral:misc_RNA from 1 species